CCUCCUCUCUCUGCCCCUGCCGCCGCGGCCACCUCCCUCCCCAACUACCAAUCCCUCCCCCACUCCCGAUCUCCUCGCCCUGCUGCCGCCACCUCCCUCACUACCAUCUCCUCUCCCAGCCACCGCCACCUCCCUCCCAAUCUCUCCCUCGGUCUGUCCCUCCUCGUCUCCUCACCGCUGGGCGCGAGAUCGGUCGCCGUCCCACGCGUAACAGCAGCCGGAUCCGGCCUCCACCGCCGCCAACCGCCGGAGAUCCAGCCUCCAACGCCGCCCCGGUACGCAUCUCUCCCUCUCUUCCUCUCUUGGUCCUUUCUAAAUGUCACCCUCUCUCUUCCUCUCACGCAGCCGAAUCUCUCUCCGACUCUCUCUCGUUUUCUCUUUCCUGCGGAGCGACGUCGCCGAAGGAUGGGAGGCGGCGGCAGGGAGGACGCAGCGCAUGGUGGCCCAUGCUCGCGGGUGGAGAUGAGAGCUCGUCCCUGCCGUCGUGGAGACAUUGGGCUGCCGCUGCCGCUGCCGCUGCCGCUGAUUGACAAGGAGGUCGCCGCCGGGCCGAGUGGGGUCGUGGUCGCUGCUACGCCAUUCCUGCAUUCCCGACUUGUGAUUUAUUUGUAUAUGUGUUUUGUUUCUGUGGCGAGAUACUCCCUCCAUUUCACAAAGAAUGGCGCCAACGUUUUUCGAGAUCGAACUUUGACCAACGAUUAGAUCAAUUGUAUGUAGAUUAUAUGUUACAAAUUUUGUAUCGUUGAAAAGAUUUUUAAAAUACGAAUCUAAUGAUAUAAUUUUUUGUAAAACAUAGUCUAAUUGUUGGUUAAAGCAAAAUUUUGAAAUACGUGCGUGCCAUUCUUUGUGAAAUGGAGGGAGUACGUGAUUCUGUGAUAUUCACCAUUUGUGAUUUGCGAUUCUGUGAUUUGUUCAUCUACGACCCAAAUUUACAGUCCACGGGCCUGUUUUUUUUAAA